UUGCGCCUGCGGUGGACGCAGCGGUGCACUUUUGUCAUGUCUUGCAGGCGGCUGUGCUCCGUACCGUCUCGUGAACCGAAACUUUUCGGAUUCAAAAUCCUCC
rnacentral:sRNA from 1 species